rnacentral:rRNA from 1 species
AUGAACGCUGGCGGCAUGCCUAAGACAUGCAAGUCGAACGAGACGGCCAAUGAAGAUGGAGUGCUUGCACAAAGUUGGACUUGGAUCCCCGUCUAGUGGCGCAAGGGUGAGUAACGCGUAGGUAACUACCUUGAGACUGGGAUAACAGUUAGAAAUGACUGCUAACACCGGAUGAUAUGUAAGAGGUAAACUUUUUACAUUAAAAGGAGCCUUUAAAGCUUCACUUAAAGAUGAGCCUGCGUCGUAUUAGCUAGUUGGUGGGGUAAUGGCCUACCAAGGCGACGAUGCGUAGCCGACCUGAGAGGGUGAUCGGCCACACUGGGACUGAGACACGGCCCAGACUCCUACGGGAGACAGCAGUUAGGAAUAUUCGUCAAUGGGGGAAACCCUGAACGAGCAAUGCCGCGUGAAGGAUGACGGUCCUAUGGAUUGUAAACUUCUGUUGUUAGGGAAGAACGACCUAAGUAGGAAAUGACUUAGGAGUGACGGUACCUUUCAAGAAAGCUCCGGCCAACUACGUGCCAGCCGCCGC